UCCUGGCUCAGGAUGAACGCUGGCGGCGUGCCUAACACAUGCAAGUCGAACGAGGUUACUGAGAUUGGAGAUUCGUCAAAGAUCUUUUAACCGAGUGGCGGAUGGGUGAGUAACGCGUGGAGAACCUGCCCUUAUCAGGGGGAUAACAACUGGAAACGGUUGACAAUACCGCAUACGCUCAUGAGAUCGCAUGAUCUUGUGAGGAAAGAUUUAUCGGAUAAGGAUGGCUCCGCGUCGGAUUAGCCAGUUGGCGGGGGUAACGGCCCACCAAAGCGACGAUCCGUAGCCGGCCUGAGAGGGCGACCGGCCACAUUGGGACUGAGAACGGCCCAGACUCCUACGGGAGGCAGCAGUGGGGAAUAUUGCGCAAUGGGGGAAACCCUGACGCAGCGACGCCGCGUGAGCGAAGAAGGCCUUCGGGUUGUAAAGCUCUGUUGUAAGGGACGAAUGUCUAGGGUAGUAACUGACCUUAGAAUGACGGUACCUUACCAGCAAGCCCCGGCUAACUACGUGCCAGCAGCAGC
rnacentral:rRNA from 1 species